CGCUGGUGAAAUCUCAGCUGGCAACUGUGAGUCUUUCUUUCAGCUCCUCUCACAAUGGCCGCUGGGAUUAUGCUAAGU
rfam:Astyanax mexicanus chromosome 21, whole genome shotgun sequence.